GACCCGUUGGCGCACUCGGCAGCGCACCCACUCUCAAUUGCUUACUCGUCUGGCUUUCUGUGGGAGGCCCCAGUUCGACUCUGGGAUGGGUCA